AAUGGGGCGUGUGUGUUCCCAUCAUGCCCCUUCCCCUCUGCCGGCAGAGCUGAGGACAGACAGGUCUGAGGAGCAGAGCAGGAGCUCUGGGAAGGAGAAGAGCAAUAUGAAGAUGGCGUCUAAGAUGAGGCCAGCAAGGGAAAAGAAGUCGUGGGGACGGAGUCCAGCCCUGAGGUGAGAUGGAAAGUGAUCGAGAGCAGUGACAGCGUGAAUCCUGUUGAUGCCAGGCAAGACCUGCCCAACUGGGACAAGAGUAACCGUCUCUGUCGAACUUGGCUUUUCCUAGGAAGGGCCAUGUACUGCCUGGGACUGAAGGAGCAACUUCUUCACGUGCCCACUGGUCUCUCAGUCAGGAUUAAGAAAGGCCUCUGGGAGCUGCAGCAAACUGCUGCAUGACAACUUGCAAGGAGAAGAAAAAGAAGCUCUCCUUCAAGCCAGAGUCAGAAGGGCGACGUCAGGAUGACUUCCUGAGUGCCGGCUCCAGUCCUUUGCUCUGCCAGCUGACCUAUCGAAGGGCUGCCACCUCUCUCUCCAGAAAUAUGUUAUGAGGUUGGGAAAUGUCCACCACCAGCCUUUCAGGUGUGACAAUGGAGGAGCCUGACUCCCUUCUGGCCCAUUGAAGGUAUC